rnacentral:misc_RNA from 1 species
UCUCCGUAGGUGAACCUGCGGAGGGAUCAUUACAAGUGACCCCGGUCUUACCACCGGGAUGUUCAUAACCCUUUGUUGUCCGACUCUGUUGCCUCCGGGGCGACCCUGCCUUCGGGCGGGGGCUCCGGGUGGACACUUCAAACUCUUGCGUAACUCUGCAGUCUGAGUAAACUUAAUUAAUAAAUUAAAACUUUUAACAACGGAUCUCUUGGUUCUG